CCAGGUUCGGUGAAGUCUGGGAGACCUCCCUCUGUGUCACCUCGACUUUCAAUAACAGUGGCCGCUAGGUGAUGCCCGAAGACAACCGAUGCCUGCAAAUGUCAGUCAGCACGGAAAAGAAUAGAUGCUCAUUUCAACAACCAGACAGUGGAUGUGACAGGAGAAGUGUCAAGGCCAGGAGUUUGAGACCAGCGUGAGCAACCGAGCAAUACAAUCCCUAUACUAAAAACGGAAAGAACCGACACAUGAGAAAUAUGACCAGAGCAUACUGUGCCCAAGAGUGUCAUCACAGCACUCUGGGAGGCCGAUGUGGGAGGAUCGCUGGAGCCUUAAAGUUUGACAUCACCUCGACAUGUGAGAUGACACCUGCAAUAAUAAUAAUCAUAGAAGUUUAAAAAUAGAUUAUGUGUGACAGAGCAUGGAAAACAAAGCGAGAGUGCAUCCGUACUAAAAACAAGAUGAUUGAUAGACAGGCAGGCAGGCAGGCAAAUAUAGAAUGAGCCAGGUGCAGUGUCUCACGCCUGUAAUAGCAGCAGUG